rnacentral:rRNA from 1 species
AUACCCCNGUAGUCCUAGCAGUAAACGCUGCUUACUAAACAUUAGUACCUCCUCGAGAGGUAUUAGUGCUGUAGAGAAGUCGAAGAGUAAGCUACCUGGGAAGUAUAGUCGCAAGGCCGAAACUUAAAGGAAUNNUCGGGGAGGCACUACAACGGGUGACGCGUGCGGUUCAAUUAGACUCUACACCGUGAAUCUCACCAGGACCGACAGCAGAAUGAAGGUCAGUCUGAAGGGCUUACCUGACACGCUGAGAGGAGUUGCAUGGCCGACAUAAGCCUGUGCCGUGAGGUGACUUGUUAAAUCAAGUAACAGGCGAGACCCCUGUCUCUAAUUUCUACGAUAAGAGCACAUUAGAGAGACUGCCUUGGUAACAAGGAGGAGGGUGGGGGCGAUGUUAGGUGAGUACAGCCCGAAUGCCCUGGGCAACACGCGCGCGGCAAUGUCAUAUUCAGUGAGAUGCAACUCUGAAAAGAGAAGCUAAUCUCCUAACGUAUGGCUUAGUUCAGAUUGAGGUUUGUAACCCAACCUCAUGACGCUGGAAUCCGUAGUAAUCG